rnacentral:tRNA from 1 species
GGACAGUUAGCGCAGCUGGUAGAGCAUUCGGCUCAUAACCGAUCGGUCACAGGUUCGAGUCCUGUACUGUCCACCA